CCCAAAGUGAAACCCACCCCUGUGUGCUGCUGCCACCUCACGGGAUAGCGCUUCUCCCACUCUACUGCAAUGCAAUUCUUCAGGUGCCUGGCUACUCAGCGGAGCUCUUGGAAGUAGCAUGACCUGGGAAACCUGGCCUCCAGACUGUGUAAAACCCUCACAAUUGAAGAAAUUAAGAAAAUAAACCUGGGCUUCACAGGUGACCUCUGACACAAGCAAGCUCUUACAACUGGUGUUGCUGGAGAAUGAAAUACCCAUUCAGAGGGAAAUGACAACAAGCAAACCAUGUGCUCCCCUGCCAGUUCAUCCAUCCUCAUUCCUGUCUUCACAGCUCCCCGUGCUCUCUGCCUGUGCCUCACCCUGAGCCAGUGGAGAGUGGAAUACAGGGUGGGGGAAGGUAGAAAAGGCUGCCCAUGUGUCCCAUCCCAACAUAGCAAUAUUUCAGGCACAAAUGUUUUUUGUCACUGUCAGCAAUAAAA